AUCCGGUCACUUAGGUCUUCUCUCGAACAUGUGAUAUCCAUUUCACAGACGGUGACGGAAAGAACUCUGUUGGAAUUCGUCUAGUUCUUUACUAAAUAUCCUUCCUGCAAAACCAAAUUCAUACACAACCCAUUGAUAUCUAACAAACUAGGACUCUUAAGCAUUCAUCAAUUUCACUCUCAAUCAAACUAACCUCUUCUCCACUGGUUCUAUGUAGUUCUAGGGUUUCCUUUUUCUUCCGUUGUAUAUUUAAAAUGGUUGGGGCUAAACGAAAUCUUCUGCAACGAUUGAACAAAAAACAGAAGCAGAUCGAAGAACAUGUUCCUGAACUUGAUCCCAGGUGCUGACUCAGCUAACCAAGAAAUGGAUAAAAAAACUAACGAUGGGAGGAAACACUAAUUUGGAUCUAUUUGAGGAGGAAACGCUAAUUAUCGAUCUUGGGAGGGGAGGAAACACAAAAUAGCUCUUGAUUAUAACGAAGUAACCUGACAACCCAGUUGCACCGGGAUUAUUAAUGCUAGCAUUUCUUAAACAUAUUGAUGUGCACUAUUGAUAUCAACUUGUGUAAAAUAAAUAUAAUUUCUGCAUGCAUUCAUCUUCGGCCCCCAUACACCCGAACUUUGUUACUUCAGGUGGUUUUGGGAGUUAGAUUGAGAAGCCAUAUUACAGAAAAUUAAAAAAUAGUGAAUUACAGAGAAGCUGAGGGUGAAAA